GGUGCAAGGUGAGGUUAUUUGGGUUGGGCCUAAGCCGGGCCCGUGCUAAGCAAGGCAAUGGAAUGAGAGGCCAAGUUCAGUCUCUCAUGGUGUUCUUGUGCACAUCGAAACAGGCUCAAAACGUGAUUCCUCCAAAAGCACUUCCUAGACGCGCUUCUCUCCUCUCACCGACGUUGACAUUUCGACGCAAACAACAACAAAAAGAGAUGGGAUCCGAUAGCAAUCCGUUCGUUGUGGCCUCUUCUCUCAUCAUCUCCUGCUUGCCUUCUCCGAUUCCGACGUGGUUAACGGUGAAGCAAUCGAAGAACCGAUUCGAAAGUUGACCUUAAUCUCCAAUUGAAGUACGAAUCGAGAGCCGCAUAAAAGGAAAACUCACAAAACAGGUAUCACAUAUUCCGCUCAAAUCUUCGCUCGAUCCUUCUUCUUGAGCUCUUCUGAGAGGGCUUUGCGUCAGUGUUGUUCGAUGCGGAAUGGAGAACGUGAUUCGUUUCCUUUAUCAGUUUUCGGAUUCACAGGUUCACAUCGCCAAAUACGACUCGAUCUUCUAUGGUAUGAAUAAGCGAAGGUAGAAGUGACAUCGAAGGUGGAUCGAAGGCUUACCGUACGGUGCAGGUAUCGAAUCUUUCGCCGGAUUUCCGAUCGAUUCUUCGUCCUCUUCUCUGCUUCUGUUCGUUUUGCUGUGGAUUGAAAAUUUGGUUUUGCGGUUCGAUGAAGAUUGGUGCGGUUUGUUGUGAUUUCACGUGGUGAAGGUUGAAGUCGAAGAACAAAGAAAAUAGAGGAUGAUUGAUUCCGAAAGCUACUACUAUGCAAUGCUGCUAUGAGUUUGCCGCAGCUGGCUCGGUGUUGGCAACUAGUGUAACAAAGCGCUUCCGUUCGUGCUCUUCCGUUAGCAGCUUCAUUUGCCAAUUUCCCUCUUUUCCUGUAUUUUCAUGUAAAUGUGAACAAUAGUGGUCUAUACAAAUGGUUUAUUUGGAUUUAAAAAAUGGAUUAAAAUAUGGAUUGGAUUAAAUUGUAAAAAUGGGAUUGAAUGAAAUUGGAUUCAUAAA